rnacentral:rRNA from 1 species
AACGCUAGCUACAGGCUUAACACAUGCAAGUCGAGGGGCAGCAUGAACUUAGCUUGCUAAGUUUGAUGGCGACCGGCGCACGGGUGAGUAACGCGUAUCCAACCUUCCGUACACUCAGGGAUAGCCUUUCGAAAGAAAGAUUAAUACCUGAUGGUAUGAUGAGAUUGCAUGGUAACAUCAUUAAAGAUUUAUCGGUGUACGAUGGGGAUGCGUUCCAUUAGAUAGUAGGCGGGGUAACGGCCCACCUAGUCGACGAUGGAUAGGGGUUCUGAGAGGAAGGUCCCCCACAUUGGAACUGAGACACGGUCCAAACUCCUACGGGAGGCAGCAGUGAGGAAUAUUGGUCAAUGGGCGCGAGCCUGAACCAGCCAAGUAGCGUGAAGGAUGAAGGUCCUACGGAUUGUAAACUUCUUUUAUAAGGGAAUAAAGUCACCUACGUGUAGGUGUUUGUAUGUACCUUAUGAAUAAGCAUCGGCUAACUCCGUGCCAGCAGCCGCGGUAAUACGGAGGAUGCGAGCGUUAUCCGGAUUUAUUGGGUUUAAAGGGAGCGUAGACGGGUCGUUAAGUCAGCUGUGAAAGUUUGAGGCUCAACCUUAAAAUUGCAGUUGAUACUGGCGUCCUUGAGUACGGUUGAGGCAGGCGGAAUUCGUGGUGUAGCGGUGAAAUGCUUAGAUAUCACGAAGAACUCCGAUUG